AGCUUUGCGCAGUGGCAGUAUCGUAGCCAAUGAGGUUUAUCCGAGGCGCGAUUAUUGCUAAUUAUUGCUAAUUGAAUGUAUAGUGGAUGUAAUAGUGGAUGUAUGUUUUUCAUUAUCAUAUUCUUUAACAGUUUGGAAAUU